UACGAAGGGUGCAAACGUUGCUCGGAAUCAUUGGGCGUAAAGCGCACGUAGGCGGCCUCAAAAGUCGGAUGUGAAAUCCCGUGGCUCAACCAUGGACGUGCAUUCGAAACUGCGAGGCUUGAGUAUGGAAGAGGGUCGCGGAAUUCCCGGUGUAGAGGUGAAAUUCGUAGAUAUUGGGAAGAACACCGGUGGCGAAGGCGGCGACCUGGUCCUUGACUGACGCUGAGGCGCGAAAGCGUGGGGAGCAAACAGG
rnacentral:rRNA from 1 species